rnacentral:rRNA from 1 species
CGAAGGGGGCUAGCGUUGUUCGGAAUUACUGGGCGUAAAGGGCGUGUAGGCGGCCCGUUAAGUCAGGUGUGAAAUUCCUGGGCUCAACCCAGGACGUGCGCCUGAGACUGGCGGGCUUGAAUCCGGGAGAGGAUGGUGGAACUCCCAGUGUAGAGGUGAAAUUCGUAGAUAUUGGGAAGAACACCCGUGGCGAAGGCGGCCAUCUGGACCGGUAUUGACGCUAAGGCGCGACAGCGUGGGGAGCAAACAGGAUUAGAUACCCUGGUAGUCCACGCCGUAAACGAUGAGUGCUAGACGUUGGGAAGCCUAGCUUUUCAGUGUCGCAGCUAACGCAUUAAGCACUCCGCCUGGGGAGUACGGCCGCAAGGUUG